rnacentral:lncRNA from 13 species
AUGCAGACCUUUGCCAUGCUGGAACAACAGUGUAUUUUACUUACAGAAAUGUCACCAAGUCAGCUGGAAAAACAGCUUAACACAGUUCUUCCAAAAUACCAAGCAUACCCUCAAACCCAAGCUUGUAUUACGUUUAGCUACAACAGAAAAAUUAAGAAAUGGUUUUGUUUUCAAUCCCCACUUUUGUCUGGAGUGCUGCGCUUGUACCGCAUGAAGGCAAACACAGGAUCAAAACACGGAGCUACAGUGACAGCAACAACACCCACUGAAAUACUUCUGAGUGGGCAAACUGCCUGCAAGUUUGUGUCCCCUCCACACCUAUGCAAACCUACUCAGAAAGCCUGCAAAGUAAAAUCAGGAAUGGAAGACUCCUCUCUUCAGCCUUCACACACAAACAUAAGCUACCUCUGUACUAAGCCAGAAGGCUCACGUUUCCCUACUGCACUAAUGAAUCAGCUGGAAAGAAAAGGAACUUCAGGAAAAAUGGGCUCUGUGUGCGUGCAUGUUGAGAGGAGAAUGAGAUGCAGCUUUAGGGAAGUUGCAGGAAGUUUUCAGUAUUCACAAGGUAUAUCAGUUUAACUAACAGGACCAAUAAUCUGCUGUUUAUCAUCAGAAAGCUCACAAAACCUAUAAAAGAAAGAUUUUUUGUAACAACUGGAACUUGUUUAGACUCAGUUUAAACACAAAGUAAAUUGUCAAUAGCAAGAUGUACUAAAAAAAAGGCAGAAUUCUGGAAAACACAUGAAGGAAAGUUGUCAGUGUAUUUAUUAAGGGAACAGAUGGAGGGGUUACAGAACAGUUCUCACACGCAACUCCCAAGAUCGGGCUUCACACAAACAGCACGUGAGUGAGGCCACCUUUCUGAUGGGGGAUGCGAACACCUCUGACACCAGGCUGGUGUUUAGCAGACUGACCAGAGUUGCCUCUGGAAGCAGAGUUGAGGCUCUAGAACUCCUUCUGCAGCUACCUGGACUUGUGUGGUGAGAAGACACCUCAGAGCAAGGUAACCACCAAUAGACAUGGCAUACGUUGAUGCGAUCAUGUUUGUAAGUCUUCUACAUGCCCUUAAUGUUUUUACUUUUUAAGCUUUUCAGUGUUACAUAUAUCUAAUUUAGUAGAAAGAAUAACUGAAGAUGAAACAUGCACAACACAGAAUCAUCUUUGGUCUGCAAAGUCCUGGGUCAGAGCUCUACAUAGCAUGAUGCCAUCAGACCUACAUUAGUAUCUCUUCCAAUAAACAGAGCUUGUACUCAAAAGAGCUCCUUGCCAGCCUUCCUGAAUAUUUGAGUGCACCAUCUACCCCAGCACCUGGGGUGCUCACUGGAACCACCAGCCCCACCCCGACCCACUCUGGCUCCAAUAGCUCAGGAGUGGCCACUACACCUGGAGCUUACAGAUAGAGAGGUUCAGCAGCCAAUUCUGGUGAAACACAGGAAAUCUGUGUGGUACUUCAAACUAACCCGACUGAAACAAGGAUCACAACAAUGUUAAGUCAAUCAGUUGCUUGUAAAACCUUCCUGGAGCCAAAUGGCUGUGCAGUUGUACCUUGAAGUCCCUCCCUGAAGUGCAUGCUAGGCGAACACGCCUUCUGCCAGAGGAACAGUCACAGCCAACAAAAAUGUAAGAACACACAUAAACCCACCUAUGGCAAAAAUGUAUUAUUCUUGGAGGAAAAAUGUACUCUGCAGUGAAAGUCAAGGAGGGGAAUGAGAGAUGAGUUUUUACAAGCCAAUUCUCAGAGCUGUUACAGACCUGUCAGUUAUGGUUAAGCUUUCUUUAGUUUCAAGUCACAUUUUGUGUGUUUUCAUAUUAAUUAGUUUCUAGCUGCCAUUAUCCAGCUACACCUUUUAAGAGUUCAGUUCUUUGGCACAGUCUUCAGCACUUUAAGCGUAAAAAAAAAAAUUUUA